CUCCGGUUGAUCCCGCCGGACCCGACUGCUAUCAGAGUGGGACUAAGCCAUGCGAGUCAACAUAGCAAUAUGUGGCAUACGGCUCAGUAACACGUAGUCAACAUGCCCAGGGGACGUGGAUAACCUCGGGAAACUGAGGAUAAACCGCGAUAGGUCAUCACUUCUGGAAUGGGUAAUGACUUAAAUCUAUAUGGCCCCUGGAUUGGACUGCGGCCGAUCAGGCUGUUGGUGAGGUAAUGGCCCACCAAACCUGUAACCGGUACGGGCUUUGAGAGAAGGAGCCCGGAGAUGGGCACUGAGACAAGGGCCCAGGCCCUAUGGGGCGCAGCAGGCGCGAAACCUCUGCAAUAGGCGAAAGCUUGACAGGGUUACUCUGAGUGAUGCCCGCUAAGGGCAUCUUUUGGCACCUCUAAAAAUGGUGCAGAAUAAGGGGUGGGCAAGUCUGGUGUCAGCCGCCGCGGUAAUACCAGCACCCCGAGUGGUCGGGACGAUUAUUGGGCCUAAAGCAUCCGUAACUUGUUCUGCAAGUCCUCCGUUAAAUCCACCUGCUCAACAGAUGGGCCGCGGAGGAUACUACAGGGCUAGGAGGCGGGAGAGGCAAGCGGUACUCAGUGGGUAGGGGUAAAAUCCUCUGAUCCACUGAAGACCACCAGUGGCGAAGGCGGCUUGCCAGAACGCGCUCGACGGUGAGGGAUGAAAGCUGGGGGAGCAAACCGGAUUAGAUACCCGGGUAGUCCCAGCUGUAAACGAUGCAGACUCGGUGAUGGGUUGGCUUUGAGCCAACCCAGUGCCGCAGGGAAGCCGUUAAGUCUGCCGCCUGGGGAGUACGGUCGCAAGACUGAAACUUAAAGGAUUGGCGGGGGAGCA
rnacentral:rRNA from 1 species